CGCCGGCCACCGGCUCAGGGCUCCGACACGGGCGGAGGACGCAGCGGGCCAGCGGCGCCCGGCAGGGAGGCAGCGGGCCAUCUGCCUGGGAACUUUUCAUUCACGUGAGACACCUGUGAAGAGCUGGAAUCACUCCAGGAAGCGCCUAUGAGACCCUAAGCCAUCUUUAGGCAUUGGAGAAGAAAGGUCACAACCUCGGUUUGCAGCAAAAAUGCUUUCAGAACAGACAGCAGCACUGGGGACACGAUGGGAGUCAAUGAAUGCACAGCUGGAUGGAGCACAGUCCCAUGUGGAAAGGAGAAGCCAGGAAGAGGGGCCAUGGAGAACAGCACUGGGGCCUCUGGAACACCCGUGCUGUGAUCUUGAAGAGGAGCCACAGUCCCUUCAAGAGAAGGAUCUCUGCUAUGGCCUGGGAGGGAAACAGAAGAUGACCCAAGUCAUUGAGCUCCUGCACCCAUGUGGGAGACCUGAAGGAACCUCCUGGAUCCUGGCUUUGGAUGGGCACAGCUCCAGCUGUUGCAGCUGUCUAGGGAGU